rnacentral:rRNA from 1 species
UACGCAGGGUGCAAGCGUUAAUCGGAAUUACUGGGCGUAAAGCGUGCGCAGGCGGUUGUGCAAGACAGAUGUGAAAUCCCCGGGCUCAACCUGGGAAUUGCAUUUGUGACUGCACGGCUAGAGUGUGUCAGAGGGGGGUAGAAUUCCACGUGUAGCAGUGAAAUGCGUAGAGAUGUGGAGGAAUACCGAUGGCGAAGGCAGCCCCCUGGGAUAACACUGACGCUCAUGCACGAAAGCGUGGGGAGCAAACAGG